rnacentral:rRNA from 1 species
CACGUAGGAGGCGAGCGUUGUCCGGAAUCAUUGGGCGUAAAGAGCGCGCAGGCGGCUUGGCAAGUCGGGUGUGAAAUCCCGGGGCUCAACCCCGUGACUGCAUCCGAUACUGUCAGGCUAGAGGUAGGUAGGGGAGAUCGGAAUUCCCGGUGUAGUGGUGGAAUGCGUAGAUAUCGGGAGGAGCACCAGUGGCGAAGGCGGUGAGCUGGGCAGUUGCUGACACUGAGGCGCGACAGCGUGGGGAGCAAACAGG